UACGUAGGGGGCAAGCGUUGUCCGGAAUCAUUGGGCGUAAAGAGCGUGUAGGCGGUCCGGUAAGUCGGCUGUGAAGGUCCAGGGCUCAACCCUGGGAUGCCGGUCGAUACUGCCGUGCUUGAGGACUGGAGAGGAGACUGGAAUUUACGGUGUAGCGGUGAAAUGCGUAGAUAUCGUAAGGAAGACCAGUGGCGAAGGCGGGUCUCUGGACAGUUCCUGACGCUGAGGCACGAAGGCCAGGGGAGCAAACGGG
rnacentral:rRNA from 1 species